AUAGGCCAUGCCUUGGGUGGAGGCGUGAAUGGGAGGCAUACAAAGCUGCUUCUUGUGGUCUGCUCUCCCCGCCGCCUCUCAGGGAGGCCGUCCUGUCCACCAUCCUGUGGUCCUAAACAGCCACAUCCUGUAAUCUGAGGCCAGUGACCUAUGACUUGUCUCCUCACUUGAAGAAAUUACCAGGCUAAUUGGGUUCCAUCUCUUGAGCAUCUGUGUAUUGACGGUGGGAGCUGGGCUAAAGAUCCUGAAAUUGACUGAAGCUGGAGUGGUCAUUAUGGGAUGGUGCAGGAUGGAAGAAAGAAAAAAAGAGGGUAUCAGAAACAGACCCAGAGAUGACUGGGGUCUGGGAGGAGGAAGCUGGAGAACCGGCUAAGGACAAGAAAAGAGCCAUUGGAGAAAGAGAUGAAGUGGAAGACAGUGAGUGAGGGGCUGGCAGAAGGAUUUCCCCUCUUCAAACUAGAGGAGAACUUCUUCCUCAGCCUCCAUGCAGCCGGCCAGAUCCUAGGGCAAGCUCUGGCUAGAGAAGGCAAGGACAGGCAAGAAAAUGUUUUAGAAAAAGACCCUUUCCAUCUGGAAUGCUUUUUCCAACUCCCUUCACACCUUCAGGCUGGCUUCUAGUUGCACCAGGAACUCUGGGCCCACGUGUGAGGUGCGGGGGCAACACUGUCCAUCGGGAGGACCUGUGGCUGCCUCCUCAUCCCUUCCACCGAGCGCAGGAUGGCACCAUUGCUGGCUUCUGCUGCCCUCUGUUGUGGUCCUGUACCUCCUCACCUGCUCAGAUGCUCCGCGGGGACUGAUGGAGCUCUUCCUGGUCUCCAGUGGUUCUUACUGGGUAAUGCUGAACAACAGAGUACCAGGAAGGCAGGGACCUGGCCAAGCGCACAUACGCAUGAGUGGAGGAAAUUUUACAAUUUUUAGGAAGCAACAAAGUAUAAAGUGGGAAUUGCAGAUCUUC